GAUGCAGCGACGCCGCGUGGAGGAAGAAGGUCUUCGGAUUGUAAACUCCUGUUGUUGAGGAAGAUAAUGACGGUACUCAACAAGGAAGUGACGGCUAACUACGUGCCAGCAGCCGCGGUAAAACGUAGGUCACAAGCGUUGUCCGGAAUUACUGGGUGUAAAGGGAGCGCAGGCGGGAGAACAAGUUGGAAGUGAAAUCCAUGGGCUCAACCCAUGAACUGCUUUCAAAACUGUUUUUCUUGAGUAUUGCAGAGGUAGGCGGAAUUCCCGGUGUAGCGGUGGAAUGCGUAGAUAUCGGGAGGAACACCAUUGGCGAAGGCGGCCUACUGGGCACCAACUGACGCUGAGGCUCGAAAGUGUGGGUAGCAAACAGGAUUAGAUACCCUGGUAGUCCACACCGUAAACGAUGAUUACUAGGUGUUGGAGGAUUGACCCCUUCAGUGCCGCAGUUAACACAAUAAGUAAUCCACCUGGGGAGUACGACCGCAAGGUUGAAACUCAAAGGAAUUGACGGA
rnacentral:rRNA from 1 species